CCUACGGGAGGCAGCAGUGAGGAAUAUUGGUCAAUGGGCGGGAGCCUGAACCAGCCCAGUCGCGUGAGGGAAGACGGUCCUAUGGAUUGUAAACCUCUUUAGGCGGGGAGCAAUGCCGGGCACGCGUGCCCGGAGGGAGAGUACCCGCAGAAUAAGCAUCGGCUAACUCCGUGCCAGCAGCCGCGGUAAUACGGAGGAUGCGAGCGUUAUCCGGAUUGAUUGGGUUUAAAGGGUGCGUAGGCGGAUUUUUAAGUCAGCGGUAAAAUGUCCGGGCUCAACCCGGGCCGGCCGUUGAAACUGGGGAUCUUGAGUGGGCGAGAAGUAUGCGGAAUGCGUGGUGUAGCGGUGAAAUGCAUAGAUAUCACGCAGAACUCCGAUUGCGAAGGCAGCAUACCGGCGCCCGACUGACGCUGAGGCACGAAAGCGUGGGGAUCGAACAGGAUUAGAUACCCCAGUAGUC
rnacentral:rRNA from 1 species